AUGAAGAUCAUCAGAGUCCUCAAAGUUGUCCAAGACACACUUCUUCUCCUAGAGUAUACUCAGACAAAUGAUCCUGUUGCUGCUAAUCAUUAGCAAGCAGAUGGGAGAAGAAAUCUCUCUGAUACCUCUUCCUACAAGUUCUGUGACCUUCAGCAGCUGUGCAGAGGAAAUCAGAAUUCCCACUGACGAUGAGGUCUCCUGAUUUUCCGAGGAAUUAGAAGCAUGAAGGAAGCACAUUGAGGUAACCCGGCUUAGUGAAUGAAGUGAGUACCCAAAAGACUGAGGAAACAGAAAAGCCACCAGUUGCUACCUAUAGAUCAUCACUAGAUGUCACUGUGGGAAGUCAUUACAUACUACUGCAACAGGAAGUGCUAAAGAAAAAUAACAUUUUUCUGUUUUAUGUUUACUAGAAGAGUAGCCAGAUGAGCUGGAAAUCACAGAGAAAAAUCUCUCUUGUAAAUUUUGCCAUAGAAUUUUGGAGCAAAAAUCUCUGGAUCAGGCUAAGUAAUUUGGUCUACAUUCCUAAAAAGUU